rnacentral:rRNA from 1 species
UACGAAGGGGGCUAGCGUUGUUCGGAAUCACUGGGCGUAAAGCGCACGUAGGCGGACUUUUAAGUCAGGGGUGAAAUCCCGGGGCUCAACCUCGGAACUGCCUUUGAUACUGGAAGUCUUGAGGCCGAGAGAGGUGAGUAGAAUUCCGAGUGUAGAGGUGAAAUUCGUAGAUAUUCGGAAGAACACCAGUGGCGAAGGCGGCUCACUGGCUCGGUACUGACGCUGAGGUGCGAAAGCGUGGGGAGCAAACAGG